rnacentral:rRNA from 1 species
GACGAGCGCUGGCGGCGUGCUUAACACAUGCAAGUCGAACGGAAAGGCCCUGCUUUUGUGGGGUGCUCGAGUGGCGAACGGGUGAGUAACACGUGAGUAACCUGCCCUUGACUUUGGGAUAACUUCAGGAAACUGGGGCUAAUACCGGAUAGGAGCUCCUGCUGCAUGGUGGGGGUUGGAAAGUUUCGGCGGUUGGGGAUGGACUCGCGGCUUAUCAGCUUGUUGGUGGGGUAGUGGCUUACCAAGGCUUUGACGGGUAGCCGGCCUGAGAGGGUGACCGGCCACAUUGGGACUAAGAUACGGCCCAGAACCGUACGGGAGGCAGCAGUGGGGAAUAUUGCAGAAUGGGCGGAAGCCUGAUGCAGCAACGCCGCGUGCGGGAUGACGGCCUUCGGGUUGUAAACCGCUUUCGCCUGUGACGAAGCGUGAGUGACGGUAAUGGGUAAAGAAGCACCGGCUAACUACGUG